AUUGAACGCUGGCGGCAGGCCUAACACAUGCAAGUCGAGCGAGCGGCGGACGGGUGAGUAAUGUCUGGGAAACUGCCUGAUGGAGGGGGAUUACUACUGGAAACGGUAGCUAAUACCGCAUACCAUCAGAUGUGCCCAGAGGGGAUUGGCAGGUUGGUGGGGUAACGGCUCACCUAGGCGACGAUCCCUAGCUGGUCUGAGAGGAUGACCAGCCAAACUGGAACUGAGCCACGGUCCAGACUCUUACGGGAGGCAGCAGUGGGGAAUAUUGCACAAUGGGCGCAAGCCUGAUGCAGACAUGCCGCUUGUGUGAGGAAGGCCUUCGGGUUGUAAAGCACUUUCAGCGGGGAGGCGUUACCCGCAGAAGAAGCACCGGCUAACUCCGUGCCAGCAGCCGCGGUAAUAC
rnacentral:rRNA from 1 species